UGGUCAAGUUAUUAAGGGUGCAGGGCGGAUGCCUUGGCACUAGGAGCCGAUGAAGGACGUGAUAAGCUGCGAUAAGCUUCGGGGAGUUGCACGUAAACUUUGAUCCGAAGAUUUCCGAAUGAGGAAACUCACUUAGAGUAAUGUCUAAGUAUCAUUAAGUGAAUACAUAGCUUAAUGAGGGGAACUCAGGGAACUGAAACAUCUAAGUACCUGAAGGAAGAGAAAGAAAUUCGAUUCCGUAAGUAGCGGCGAGCGAACGCGGAUUAGCCCAAACCAAUAAAGUUUUCUUUAUUGGGGUUGCGGACAUAUCAUAACGAAGAGGUAUCGUAAUUGAAGAGGUU
rnacentral:rRNA from 1 species